AUUGAACGCUGGCGGCAUGCUUUACACAUGCAAGUCGAACGGUAACAGCACUUCGGUGGCUGACGAGUGGCGAACGGGUGAGUAAUACAUCGGAACGUGCCUAGUAGUGGGGGAUAACUACUCGAAAGAGUAGCUAAUACCGCAUGAGAUCUAAGGAUGAAAGCAGGGGACCUUCGGGCCUUGCGCUACUAGAGCGGCUGAUGGCAGAUUAGGUAGUUGGUGGGAUAAAAGCUUACCAAGCCGACGAUCUGUAGCUGGUCUGAGAGGACGACCAGCCACACUGGGACUGAGACACGGCCCAGACUCCUACGGGAGGCAGCAGUGGGGAAUUUUGGACAAUGGGCGCAAGCCUGAUCUAGCAAUGCCGCGUGCAGGAUGAAGGCCUUCGGGUUGUAAACUGCUUUUGUACGGAACGAAAAGCCCUCUUCUAAUACAGGAGGGUCAUGACGGUACCGUAAGAAUAAGCACCGGCUAACUACGUG
rnacentral:rRNA from 1 species